GGAGAGAUGGCUCAGUGGUUGAGAGCACUGGCUGUCCUUCCAUAGGACCUGGGUUCAAUUCCCAGCAUCCA
rnacentral:tRNA from 1 species